rnacentral:rRNA from 1 species
AUGGUCGCCGACGCCGCAGGCGCCCACGACGCAGCCGCCGCCGGGCAGCGCCCGCGGGCGCGCCCAGGUGCCGGACGCGACGUGCAGCGCGUCCACCGACCCGGCGCACACGUGCGCCCCGAGCGCCCGCGCUCCGUCGCCGGACACCGCGACCCCGCCGGCCACGUAGAACACCCCGCCGGCCCCGGCCCCGGCGCACCCGUACCUCCUCCGCGGCGCCUCGGACACCACGCGCCACGCGUCUGCCACCGGGUCGUACUCCUCGACCGCCGCGGUCCGCGCGGACCCGCCGGCGACGUAGAUCCGCCCUCCCACGGCGGCGGCCGCGAACUUCUUCCGCGGGAACAGCGUGGGUGCACACGCGCGCGCGGCACCCGUGAGCGCGUCCACCCGCAGCGUGGCGCCGCGGCCGACGAGGAAGAUCUCGCGGCCCAGCGCGACGGCGCGCGCGUGCGCGAACACGGAGCGGCCGCAAUGCAGCAGGGCCAGCGGCAGCGGCAGCGCGGUGACCUGGAGCUGCUGCUGCUCCGGCCGGAACUGGAGCAGGGCCUGGGCAAAGGCGCCGCCGUGGUCGGGGACGGAGACGGCGAGCAGGGAGGGCUGGAGCUGACCGCGCGCGCGGCGGAGCUGGAGGAAGGCGUGGGACGCGAGGAGGUCGGCGAAGCGGCGGCAGACGGCGGGGAGCGGCGGGAGGGAGACCCUGGGCACGCGGACAAGGCACUCGAGGAUGAGGUCGUCGGGCAGCGCGGAGAUGGGCGGUGGUGGUUGGGCGGAGAAGCAGAGGCUGGUGGUGGAGGAAGCAGCGGCAGGAGCGGGGAUGGGGACUGGGACGGGGACGGGGACGGAGAUGUGGCGGUCGGGGUCGGCAGGGAUGCAGGACUUGACGAACCACGACAUGCUACGGGAGUGGCAGCUGUCCGCGGGCAUGCCAGUGGCCUCGGGAGCUCGCCGGAGUGGAUCGGGGUCGCGGUGGUGCAUUCGCCGAUGGUGAGUAUGCUUCUACGAGUCUAUGGCUGUACCGUCAAAGUUCGGCCGUGGAUUUGGGUUAGAUUUUGA